rnacentral:rRNA from 1 species
GACGAACGCUGGCGGCGCGCCUAACACAUGCAAGUCGAACGAAGCUGUUUUCUCUGAAGUUUUCGGAUGGAAGAGAGUUCAGCUUAGUGGCGAACGGGUGAGUAACACGUGAGCAACCUGCCUUUCAGUGGGGGACAACAUUUGGAAACGAAUGCUAAUACCGCAUAAGACCACAGUGUCGCAUGGCACAGGGGUCAAAGGAUUUAUCCGCUGAAAGAUGGGCUCGCGUCCGAUUAGCUAGAUGGUGAGGUAACGGCCCACCAUGGCGACGAUCGGUAGCCGGACUGAGAGGUUGAACGGCCACAUUGGGACUGAGACACGGCCCAGACUCCUACGGGAGGCAGCAGUGGGGAAUAUUGCACAAUGGGGGAAACCCUGAUGCAGCGACGCCGCGUGGAGGAAGAAGGUCUUCGGAUUGUAAACUCCUGUCCCAGGGGACGAUAAUGACGGUACCCUGGGAGGAAGCACCGGCUAACUACGUGCCAGCAGCCGCGGUAAAACGUAGGGUGCAAGCGUUGUCCGGAAUUACUGGGUGUAAAGGGAGCGCAGGCGGAUUGGCAAGUUGGGAGUGAAAUCUAUGGGCUCAACCCAUAAAUUGCUUUCAAAACUGUCAGUCUUGAGUGGUGUAGAGGUAGGCGGAAUUCCCGGUGUAGCGGUGGAAUGCGUAGAUAUCGGGAGGAACACCAGUGGCGAAGGCGGCCUACUGGGCACUAACUGACGCUGAGGCUCGAA